AGUUGGGUCCUACGCGGCGGAGCCUUCGAACCGUGUCAGGUCCGAAAGGAAGCAGCACUAAGGAGUAUACUCCGGGUGCCGUAGGGGUGCCUAGCUCCA
rnacentral:SRP_RNA from 1 species